UUUCCGUAGGUGAACCUGCGGAAGGAUCAUUACAGUAGUCGCCCGGGUUGCCGCAAGGCCUCCCGGGUACCCUACCACCCUUUGUUUAUUACACUUUGUUGCUUUGGCAGGCCUGCCCUCGGGCUGCGGGCUCCGGCCGGCGAGCGCUUGCCAGAGGACCUAAACUCUGUUUGUCUAUACUGUCUGAGUACUAUAUAAUAGUUAAAACUCUCAACAACGGAUCUCUUGGUUCUG
rnacentral:misc_RNA from 1 species